AUGCUUACUUUGACAGCACGUAUGCUAAAAUUGGAACAAUACAGAAAAGAUUAACAUGGCUUCUACAUAAGUAUGAAAUGCACAUUUGUAAAAGCUUCCAUGUUUUC
ensembl:snRNA U6 U6 spliceosomal RNA